rnacentral:rRNA from 1 species
CCUACGGGGGGCAGCAGUGAGGAAUAUUGGUCAAUGGCCGGAAGGCUGAACCAGCCAUGCCGCGUGAAGGUCAGUGCCCUAUGGGCGUUAAACUUCUUUUGUGCGGGAGCAAUAAUGGUCACGUGUGGCCAGACGAGAGUACCGUACGAAUAAGCAUCGGCUAACUCCGUGCCAGCAGCCGCGGUAAUACGGGGGAUGCAAGCGUUAGCCGGAUUUAUUGGGGUUAAAGGGUGCGUAGGCUGUGAGGUAAGUCAGCGGUGAAAUGCCCCCACUCACCGGGGUGAAGUGCCAUUGAUACUGCCUUGCUGGAAUGCGGAUGCCGUGGGAGGAAUGUGUGGUGUAGCGGUGAAAUGCAUAGAUAUCACACAGAACACCGAUUGCGAAGGCAUCUCACGAAUCCGCGAUUGACGCUGAUGCACGAAAGCGUGGGUAUCAAACAGGAUUAGAUACCCGUGUAGUC